ensembl:snoRNA U8 U8 small nucleolar RNA
UCGUCAGGUAGGAUGAUCCUUACCUGUUCCUCCUUUAGAGGGCAAAUUGAAACGUGGUGAUUGGACUUCGCAUGAUUUGUGAUUAUUGUUUCUGUGUAGUCAGGGCUCGCAACACCCUGAUUGCUCUUAUCUGAU